rnacentral:lncRNA from 1 species
ACGAUCUUCAAAAUCAUCUCUAAUUGAGUUCUUGGAAAGAAUCCAAUCUUAGAAGGAAGGAAAAUUCCAAGAUCAUCUCCUCAAUUUCCAAUUAAAAAGUGAGAGAGCCUCAUCAACUUAUUUGGUGUGCUAGUAAACUUUAGCAAUAAAAAUAAAAUUGUAGAAUUUAACUACCAUUUCAUUUUAUGAAUGGUUUAGAAGGUCUAGCCCG